rnacentral:rRNA from 1 species
ACACUCCUGCGGGAGGCAGCAGUGGGGAAUUUUGGACAAUGGGGGCAACCCUGAUCCAGCAAUGCCGCGUGAGUGAAGAAGGCCUUCGGGUUGUAAAGCUCUUUUGUCAGGGAAGAAACGGUAGUAGCGAAUAACUAUUACUAAUGACGGUACCUGAAGAAUAAGCACCGGCUAACUACGUGCCAGCAGCCGCGGUAAUACGUAGGGUGCAAGCGUUAAUCGGAAUUACUGGGCGUAAAGCGUGCGCAGGCGGUUGUGUAAGUCAGAUGUGAAAUCCCCGGGCUCAACCUGGGAAUUGCAUUUGAGACUGCACGGCUAGAGUGUGUCAGAGGGGGGUAGAAUUCCACGUGUAGCAGUGAAAUGCGUAGAUAUGUGGAGGAAUACCGAUGGCGAAGGCAGCCCCCUGGGAUAACACUGACGCUCAUGCACGAAAGCGUGGGGAGCAAACAGGAUUAGAUACCCCUGUAGUCCC